UACGUAGGGUGCGAGCGUUGUCCGGAAUUACUGGGCGUAAAGAGCUCGUAGGUGGUUUGUCGCGUUGUUCGUGAAAACCGGGGGCUUAACCCUCGGCGUGCGGGCGAUACGGGCAGACUUGAGUACUGCAGGGGAGACUGGAAUUCCUGGUGUAGCGGUGGAAUGCGCAGAUAUCAGGAGGAACACCGGUGGCGAAGGCGGGAUCUCUGGGCCAGUACUGACGCUGAGGAGCGAAAGCGUGGGGGAGCGAACAGG
rnacentral:rRNA from 1 species